UGGGCAGAAAGAGUUGUCAAAGAAGAGCAAAAGGCCUUGUAAAAGAGCUGGUCUUGCAGCUCGAGUUGUAUCCCCAUACUUCUGCAAGGUACCCAAGGAAGAAGAAGCUGCAUGUAGCAACUUGACUGCUAGCCAUAGUGGGCAGAAAGGGUCAUCAAAGAAAAGCAAAAAGCCAGGUGAAAGAGCUGCUCUUGCAGUUCGAACUGUCUCCCCUUACUUCCAGAAGAUACCCAAGGAAAAAGAAGCCGCAGAUAGCAGCUUGAAUGAUGCCAAACAUGGGCGGAAAAACUCUUCAAAGAUGGGCAAAAGAUCAGGGAGUAUUAGUAAUGUUCUCUCUAGUUCCCAAAAGCGAAGUGAGGCUUAUCGAAGAAAAACUCCAGAUAACACAUGGAAGCCACCACGAUCUGAAGUUGGACUUCUCCAAGAAGAUCAUGUGCAUGACCCUUGGAGAGUGCUGGUGAUAUGCAUGCUGCUUAAUUGCACAACUGGUACGCAGGUACGAAGAGUUAUAACAGAUUUCUUCACUCUGUGUCCUGAUCCAAUGACUGCCACUGAGGUGAAAACACUAGAGAUUGAAAACAUAAUUGAAUCUCUAGGUUUGCAUAGAAAGAGGGCGGUGAUGAUACAACGCUUAUCGCGGGUG
rnacentral:misc_RNA from 1 species